rnacentral:tRNA from 2 species
GGAAAUGUGCCCGAAUAAUUAAGGACCACUUUGAUAGAGUGAACUAUGUGGGUUCAAGUCCCUCCAUUUCCU